rfam:Gramella flava JLT2011, complete genome.
GCAGCAGGUCGCCUUAUCGCUCUGUUCAAUCAGGGAGGAAAGUCCGGACACCAUAGAGCAGCUUAGUGGGUAACGCCCACCGGUCGAAAGAUCAGGACCAGUGCAACAGAAAGAAUGUACAGGUAAUGCUGUAGUGAAACCAGGUAAACUCUAGGCGGUGCAAUGCCAUGUAUACCGGUUGAGUCGGGUUGCUCGCCCGCAUACCGGAGGGUAGGCAGCUAAAGACAUGCAGUAAUGUAUGUCUCAGAUAAAUGAUAAGGAUUUUUGAAAUUUUCAGAAAUACAGAAUCCGGCUUACAGACCUGCUUUUUUU